rnacentral:lncRNA from 1 species
GGCGGAGCCUGGUGGAGAUGUUGGGUUUUGUCCUUGCGUGGGCGCUGCUUGCUGGCAAAGUCUGGACAAGAGAAUUCUCUAGUGAUUUCUAACCGGGCCUCCUACCCCAGAUCCUGGGACUCCUCAGCCCUGAGCAGCCCUCAGCCUCGCUGGAGUGUGUUCUCUCUUGCCCUGCACCAUCCUCACCCCGACCCCGCACGAAGAAGUGUGCAGUGUGGCCCUGAGACCGUAGCCUUGCUCCAGAGACUGCCCAGGGAGACGGACCUAGUUCUCUUGACUUCCUGCUUUCUCCACCUUAGCCUCCUAGGCUCUGAUUUCUGCCUCCUCCCUAAAGCAAGAGGGAGCAGCGCCUCCCAGAGCACCUACAAUCCAGAGAGGGUGGCAGCAUCCUUAGGUGACCUGGGUCCCAGCCCCAACUUCUGGGCAGCCCGCCAGGAUAGAAAAGGAUGUUCGAAAGAAAGUUCAGAGCAACUCACCCACCAGAUACCCCCCUUCAUUCCCACAGACCGCCAGCCCCAGAGCCUGUCUGACCCCUAAACCCCAAUUUCCUAAAUCCUCCCCUAGUUUCAUCCUCACCUUCUUGGAGUUUUGAUAAAAGAGGAACCAAUAUGCUAAAUCUCAGUUCCCAGGCCUUACUGUGUGACCAUCCCUAGGCUCUGCCCUCUCUGGUCUCCGACUUCCCUGAGAAUCCCU